GACGAACCGUGCGAACGUUAUUCGGAAUCACUGGGCUUAAAGCGCGUGUAGGCGGGUGGGCGCGUCGGCCGCUGAAAUCCCCCGGCUCAACCGGGGAAGGGGCGCCGAGGCGGCCGGCCUGGAGGGACGUAGGGGGGGCUGGAACUUCCGGUGGAGCGGUGAAAUGCGUUGAGAUCGGAAGGAACGCCCGUGGCGAAAGCGAGCCCCUGGACGUCUACUGACGCUGAGACGCGAAAGCCAGGGGAGCGAACGGG
rnacentral:rRNA from 1 species